rnacentral:rRNA from 1 species
CCUACGGGAGGCAGCAGUGGGGAAUAUUGGGCAAUGGGCGCACGCCUGACCCAGCAACGCCGCGUGAAGGAAGAAGGCUUUCGGGUUGUAAACUUCUUUUAAGCGGGACGAGCAGAAGACGGUACCUCUUGAAUAAGCCACGGCUAACUACGUGCCAGCAGCCGCGGUAAUACGUAGGUGGCAAGCGUUGUCCGGAUUUACUGGGUGUAAAGGGCUUGCAGCCGGGAAGACCAGGCAGAUGGGAAAUCCCGGGGCUCAACCGAAGAACGGCAUUCGAAACUGUUGUUCUUGAGUACCGGAGAGGUCAUCGGAAUUCCUUGUGUAGCGGUGAAAUGCGUAGAUAUAAGGAAGAACACCAGUUGCGAAGGCGGAUUACUGGACGGCAACUGACGGUGAGGCGCGAAAGCGUGGGGAGCAAACAGGAUUAGAUACCCCAGUAGUC